UCUUCCCUAAAAGGUGAGUUCCAGUCCUACAGGAAGCACAACAGGCAGUGGAAUGAUGUUUGGUCAAUCACUAAAAGAUGGUGACUUCUCUUCCAGCGUUAAGCAUGGACCAUUCUACUCCUACAAUCCUCAUGAUAGGUUGCUGAGAGACUUUGGGCGAAUAGCCAGGGGAUGGUGAGUUCUAAUUCUGCAGUUGGUUAGAUGAAAUCUUCUCCUGAAAGGUGAGUUCCACUCCAGCAACACACACAGCAAGACCAUUGAAUGACUUUGGUUGCAUAACUAAAAAAUGUUGACUUCUCUUCUUGCUUUAGGCAUGGACCAUUCUCCUCCUGGAAUCCUCAUGCUAGGUGGAUGAGGCUCUUUGGGUCAAUCAGAAGGAGAUAGUGAGUUCUAAUCCUGCAGUGGGAUUGAUGACAUCUUCCCCUAAAAGGCAUGGUUCUCCUCCUGGAAUCCUCAUGGUAGAUGGCUGAGAGACUUUGGCCCAAUAUUCAGGGGACGGUGAGUUCAAAUUCAACAAUUGGUUUGAUGAAUUCUUCUCCUGAAAGGUGAGUUCCACUCCUGCAGCAAUCACAAGACAAUUGAAUGACUUUGGUUGCAUAACUAAAAGAUGGCGACUUCUCUUCUUGCUCUAGGCAUGGACCAUUCUCCUCCUGGAAUGCUCAUGAAAGGUGGAUGAGGCUCUUUGGGACAAUCACAAGGAGGUGGUGAGU